UCCUCGGUAGCUCAAUUGGCAGAGCGACCGGCUGUUAACCGGUUGGUUGGAGGUUCAAGUCCUCCCCGAGGAG
rnacentral:tRNA from 1 species